UACGGAGGGGACUAGCGUUGUUCGGAAUUACUGGGCGUAAAGCGCACGUAGGCGGAUUUGUAAGUCAGGGGUGAAAUCCCGGGGCUCAACCUCGGAACUGCCUUUGAUACUGCAAAUCUCGAGUCCGGAAGAGGUGAGUGGAAUUCCUGGUGUAGAGGUGAAACUCGUAGAUAUUAGGAAGAACACCAGUGGCGAAGGCGGCUCACUGGUCCGGUACUGACGCUGAGGCGCGAAAGCGUGGGGAGCAAACAGG
rnacentral:rRNA from 1 species